rnacentral:rRNA from 1 species
CCUACGGGUGGCUGCAGUGGGGAAUAUUGGACAAUGGGGGGAACCCUGAUCCAGCCAUGCCGCGUGUGUGAAGAAGGCCCUCGGGUUGUAAAGCACUUUCAGUGAGGAAGAACGCCUGGUGGUUAAUACCCAUCAGGAAAGACAUCACUCACAGAAGAAGCACCGGCUAACUCCGUGCCAGCAGCCGCGGUAAUACGGAGGGUGCGAGCGUUAAUCGGAAUUACUGGGCGUAAAGCGCGCGUAGGUGGCUUGAUAAGCCGGUUGUGAAAGCCCCGGGCUCAACCUGGGAACGGCAUCCGGAACUGUCAAGCUAGAGUGCAGGAGAGGAAGGUAGAAUUCGCGGUGUAGCGGUGAAAUGCGUAGAGAUCGGGAGGAAUACCAGUGGCGAAGGCGGCCUUCUGGACUGACACUGACACUGAGGUGCGAAAGCGUGGGUAGCAAACAGGAUUAGAUACCCCUGUAGUC